GCCCACGCGCGCACUCCCGGGCGCACGCUGGCACCUCCACAUGACCGCAAAGGCGCCCGGAAUCCUGAUGCCAGCAAGGUCCUUGGGGAUCACCUAAUCCAUCCCCCUGCCUGCAAGCGGGACCAGACUUCCACCCCGCAAUUCGACGAGAGCCCCAGUCCCACGAGGCCCUGGAGCGAAGGACUUUCUGAAAGCCCUCCGGCGUUGCUUCUUCAGAAUGAAAUACACCUGUGUCCGGAAGGUCUUUCACACAGCUAACCUGAGGACUCCAGGCUGUUAAAUAGGCUCCUAGGACCACCCCACCAACUCUUCGAAUGACUCUGAAAAGCCCGAAGCCCCAAUUCGAGUCUGUUAGUCUCAGCCCCUUUCUUCCACCCAGAAAAUGGGGCUGUAGAAGUUCACUUAGAUAGGCAGAUCCUUGACACCCAGCACUUGGUGGUAACCUUGGCGCCCUAGGCUUCCACUCCUGGCUGCCACCAUCAGGCAGAUCCAGGACAGGUUCCUUUGGUCACCCCCAGCUGCCUCCUGCUGAGGUGGGUUCAGUUACUUUUAAAAAUAGUCCAAAGCCAUUCUGAACCAAAGUCUUGAAUCAGCUGUGAAGCCAGAUUUGGAGAAGUAUCCAUCUCCGGUUCAGCAGGGAACGCAGGAGGCCAGGCCUGGGAGGAGAGUCCAAGGGCUGACAGUGUCUGGUGGAGCCUCAGCAUCUCUGCACCAACCGUGUGCCCUCCUGAGGUUAUUGCUUGAAGGACCACGUUCAUUUAUCAGAGCAAAACAAUAUUUCCCAGCCUCCCCUUCAGAAUGGUGAGGACAUGUGACUGAACUCUGGCCAACAGGAUGUGAGCAAAAGUGAUCUGAGUAGUGGGAGAAAACGUUGGACUUCAGUGGAUUGAAGAGUGGAUGUGAGGUGAAGAAAAGGAAAAAAUGUGUGCAGACAACUCUUGAGAAGCCUCAAGCUUUCAAGGAGAGGGACAGAGAAAUGGGGUGGCAGCUAAAUGCUGCUGUGGGAACAAGGAGGGCGUGCUGAGAUCCCAGAUGUGUGUCUCUCCAGAUCCGGAGUGCCAGCCUCUAGGCCAUUCUGGCUGAAGGCUUCAUGUGUGUUAUUUUUACCUCCCAACGAAACCGUAAGCCUCUCAUCGUCAGGAACUGUCACGAGGACAUGGGCUGACCCUGGGACUGGACACUCAACUUGCAUUUGUCGGAUGGAGCAGAAUGAGACAGGAAAGCCCAGUGCUGGGCGUGUUUUCCCCCUGGGCAGCCUAGCAAGCCACCAACAGCCCCAGCGACCACCAGAGGGAAGGGAGCAGGCUUUUGAGUCCAAAGUUCAUCGGAGACCAGAAGGAUUUGCCCUAGAGGACAUUCAGCCCUUUGCGCAGUGUGAACUUGGCCGUGGAGCAGGGCCCUCCUCCCACUGCACCAGCAGCAACAGGGCAGCUACUCCACGCUGGGCACUGAAGAUGCUUCCUGGCCCUGAGGACCCAGACAAGGCCCAGGAUCCAACAAGACAGUGCCCCUGCGCUCCUGGACUGCAGCCCUCUCUGUGCACCCCUGAAGCACAUGGAUACGUCUCCAGCCACUUUUCCCCCCGUCAGAAGAGAGAGAAAGCAAACCCAAGGCUAAAAAGGCAGCUGUGACCACACCGAAAGUGCUUCCUCUGAGUUCGAAUAGGUUGUAUUUUCCUGCGUUGUAAAGUACGUGGAAGGAGCGGGUGUCCUGGCCCGCUCACUGCUCUGCGAGAAG
ensembl:lncRNA